rnacentral:rRNA from 1 species
CCUACGGGGGGCAGCAGUGGGGAAUAUUGGACAAUGGGCGCAAGCCUGAUCCAGCAAUACCGCGUGUGUGAAGAAGGCCUGAGGGUUGUAAAGCACUUUUAAUCGGGAGGAAUAGCGGUCGGUUAAUACCCGGUCGUCUGACAUUACCGAUAGAAAAAGCACCGGCUAACUCCGUGCCAGCAGCCGCGGUAAUACGGAGGGUACAUGCGUUAAUCGGAAUUACUGGAGGCGAAGCGUGCGUUCACGUGUGAAAGCCCCGGGCUUAACCUGGGAACGGCAUUUGAAACUGAUCGACUAGAGUUGGGUAGAGGGGAGUGGAAUUUCAGGUGUAGCGGUGAAAUGCGUAGAUAUCUGAAGGAACACCAGUGGCGAAGGCGGCUCCCUGGACCCAAACUGACGCUGAGGCACGAAAGCGUGGGUAGCAAACAGGAUUAGAUACCCGGGUAGUC